UACGGGGGGAGCAAGCGUUGUUCGGAUUUACUGGGCGUAAAGGGCGCGUAGGCGGCCACCGCAAGUCGACUGUGAAAUCUCCGGGCUUAACCCGGAAAGGUCAGCCGAUACUGCGGGGCUAGAGUGCAGAAGGGGCAACUGGAAUUCUUGGUGUAGCGGUGAAAUGCGUAGAGAUCAUGAGGAAGACCGGUGGCGAAGGCGGGUCUCUGGACAGUUCCUGACACUGAGACACGAAGGCCAGGGGAGCAAACGGG
rnacentral:rRNA from 1 species